UACGAAGGGGGCUAGCGUUGCUCGGAAUUACUGGGCGUAAAGCGCACGUAGGCGGUCUUUUAAGUCGGUGGUGAAAUCCUGGAGCUCAACUCCAGAACUGCCUUCGAUACUGGAAGACUUGAGUCCGGGAGAGGUGAGUGGAACUGCGAGUGUAGAGGUGAAAUUCGUAGAUAUCGGGAGGAACACCUGUGGCGAAAGCGGCUCACUGGACCAUUACUGACGCUGAUGCUCGAAAGCUAGGGGAGCAAACAGG
rnacentral:rRNA from 1 species